rnacentral:rRNA from 1 species
AUUGAACGCUGGCGGCAUGCUUUACACAUGCAAGUCGAACGGUAACAGGCCGCAAGGUGCUGGCGAGUGGCGAACGGGUGAGUAAUGCAUCGGAACGUGCCCAGUCGUGGGGGAUAACGCAGCGAAAGCUGUGCUAAUACCGCAUACGAUCUAUGGAUGAAAGCGGGGGACCGUAAGGCCUCGCGCGAUUGGAGCGGCCGAUGUCAGGUUAGGUAGUUGGUGGGGUAAAGGCCUACCAAGCCGACGAUCUGUAGCUGGUCUGAGAGGACGACCGGCCACACUGGGACUGAGACACGGCCCAGACUCCUACGGGAGGCAGCAGUGGGGAAUUUUGGACAAUGGGCGCAAGCCUGAUCCAGCAAUGCCGCGUGCAGGAAGAAGGCCUUCGGGUUGUAAACUGCUUUUGUACGGAACGAAACGGUCUGGGUUAAUACCCUGGGCUAAUGACGGUACCGUAAGAAUAAGCACCGGCUAACUACGUGCCAGCCGCCGCCGUAAAAC